rnacentral:rRNA from 1 species
GACGAACGCUGCGGCGUGCUUAACACAUGCAAUUCGAACGGGAUCCACUGGGCUUUUGUUUGGUGGUGAGAGUGGCGAACGGGUGAGUAAUGCGUGACUAACUGCCGUAUGGUUGGGGAUAGCUCCUGGAAACGGGUGGUAAUACCCAAUGCUCCAGCUGGAUGCAUGUCUGGUUGGGAAAGCUUUUGUGCCAUAUGAUGGGGUCGCGUCCUAUCAGCUUGUUGGUGGGGUGAUGGCCUACCAAGGCGUCGACGGGUAGCCGGCCUAAGAGGGCGACCGGCCACAUUGGGACUGAGAUACGGCCCAGACUCCUACGGGAGGCAGCAGUGGGGAAUAUUGCACAAUGGGCGCAAGCCUGAUGCAGCGACGCCGCGUGCGGGAUGGAGGCCUUCGGGUUGUAAACCGCUUUUAUAGGGGGGCAAGCUAUGCCUGUGUGGUGUGGUGAGUGGACUUUA